GGUCGUAUAGCGCAAUGGUAACGCGUUUGCUUUCGUAGCGGGAAGUUUUGGGUUCGACCCCCGGUGCGACUU
rfam:Gaeumannomyces graminis var. tritici R3-111a-1 unplaced genomic scaffold supercont2.1, whole genome shotgun sequence.